rnacentral:rRNA from 1 species
AGAGUUUGAUCAUGGCUCAGGAUGAACGCUAGCGGCAGGCCUAAUACAUGCAAGUCGAACGGGAGUAGCAAUACUCUAGUGGCGCACGGGUGCGUAACGCGUAUGCAACCUACCUUUCAGUGGGGGAUAGCCCGGGGAAACCCGGAUUAAUACCGCAUAAGAUAGUUGAAUGGCAUCAUUUAAUUAUGAAACAUUUAUGGCUGAAAGAUGGGCAUGCGUUAGAUUAGCUAGUUGGUGAGGUAGAAGCUCACCAAGGCUAUGAUCUAUAGGGGUUCUGAGAGGAAGAUCCCCCACACUGGUACUGAGACAGGGACCAGACUCCUACGGGAGGCAGCAGUAGGGAAUAUUGGGCAAUGGAGGCAACUCUGACCCAGCCAUGCCGCGUGCAGGAAGAAGGCCUUCUGGGUUGUAAACUGCUUUUGGAAGGGAACAAAACGGGCAUGCGUGCCAACUUGAGUGUACCUUCAGAAUAAGCACCGGCUAACUCCGUGCCAGCAGCCGCGGUAAUACGGAGGGUGCAAGCGUUGUCCGGAUUUAUUGGGUUUAAAGGGUGCGUAGGCGGCUUAUUAAGUCAGGGGUGAAAGACUGCAGCUCAACUGUAGCAGUGCCUUUGAUACUGAUGAGCUUGAGUACAGAUGAGGCAGGCGGAAUGGGUGGUGUAGCGGUGAAAUGCAUAGAUACCAUCCAGAACACCGAUUGCGAAGGCAGCCUGCUAAACUGUAACUGACGCUGAGGCACGAAAGCGUGGGGAUCGAACAGGAUUAGAUACCCCAGUAGUCC